UUCCAAGAUUAUUGAUGAAGUAAUCUUUGCUUCACUUUUAUUUCCAUCUUGUUCGUUGUAGUGAGAAUCUUCAAUAUUGACAAUUUUCUUUGCAGGAUGCUGAUAAGAUUGUGCGUUCCAUCCAAAACUUGUUCGCUUCCUGGGGGCAAGUCAAGACAUCUCGCCCUGCUCCAUCUGGUCGUCCUGCUACUUCUUCAGAGGAAGAUAUGAAGUUCCUCAAGCAGUCGAUAUUUGAGUACGUGUCCUUCAUGGAUAUGGACAUUGGUAAGGCUAGUGCUGCCAGACAUAAGGAUAAG
rnacentral:lncRNA from 1 species